rnacentral:rRNA from 1 species
UACGUAGGGUGCGAGCGUUGUCCGGAAUUAUUGGGCGUAAAGGGCUCGUAGGCGGUUUGUCGCGUCGGGAGUGAAAUCCACUGGCUUAACUGGUGGCUUGCUUUCGAUACGGGCAGACUGGAGGUAUGCAGGGGAGAACGGAAUUCCUGGUGUAGCGGUGAAAUGCGUAGAUAUCAGGAGGAACACCGGUGGCGAAGGCGGCUUUCUGGACAGUAACCGACGCUGAGGCGCGAAAGCUAGGGGAGCAAACAGG